rnacentral:rRNA from 1 species
UAGGGAAUAUUAGAAAUGGACGAAAGUCUGAUCUAGCAACACCGCGUGUGCGAAGAAGGCCUUCGGGUUGUAAAGCACUUUUUGGAAGGAUUAGGAAGGAAUGUACUUCCAGAAUAAGUCUCGGCUAACUACGUGCCAGCAGCCGCGGCAACACGUAGGAGGCAAACGUUAUCCGGAUUUACUGGGCGUAAAGCGCGUGUAGGUGGUUCUGUAAGUAGGGCGUGAAAGCUCCUGGCUCAACUGGGAGAGGCCGUUCUAAACUGCAGAGCUAGAGGAUGGUAGAGGGAGGUGGAAUUCCGGGUGUAGCGGUGGAAUGCGCAGAUAUCCGGAGGAACACCAGAGGCGAAGGCGGCGACCUGGAUAGGUACUGACACUCAACUACGAAAGCGUGGGGAGCAAACA